rnacentral:rRNA from 1 species
GAGUUUGAUCCUGGCUCAGGAUGAACGCUGGCGGCGUGCUUAACACAUGCAAGUCGAACGGUGAAGCAGAGCUUGCUCUGUGGAUCAGUGGCGAACGGGUGAGUAACACGUGAGCAACCUGCCCUGGACUCUGGGAUAAGCGCUGGAAACGGCGUCUAAUACUGGAUAUGAAUCGCGACCGCAUGGUCAGUGGUUGGAAAGAUUUUUCGGUCUGGGAUGGGCUCGCGGCCUAUCAGCUUGUUGGUGAGGUAAUGGCUCACCAAGGCGUCGACGGGUAGCCGGCCUGAGAGGGUGACCGGCCACACUGGGACUGAGACACGGCCCAGACUCCUACGGGAGGCAGCAGUGGGGAAUAUUGCACAAUGGGCGAAAGCCUGAUGCAGCAACGCCGCGUGAGGGAUGACGGCCUUCGGGUUGUAAACCUCUUUUAGCAAGGAAGAAGCGAAAGUGACGGUACUUGCAGAAAAAGCGCCGGCUAACUACGUGCCAGCAGCCGCGGUAAUACGUAGGGCGCAAGCGUUAUCCGGAAUUAUUGGGCGUAAAGAGCUCGUAGGCGGUUUGUCGCGUCUGCUGUGAAAACCCGAGGCUCAACCUCGGGCCUGCAGUGGGUACGGGCAGACUAGAGUGCGGUAGGGGAGAUUGGAAUUCCUGGUGUAGCGGUGGAAUGCGCAGAUAUCAGGAGGAACACCGAUGGCGAAGGCAGAUCUCUGGGCCGUAACUGACGCUGAGGAGCGAAAGGGUGGGGAGCAAACAGGCUUAGAUACCCUGGUAGUCCACCCCGUAAACGUUGGGAACUAGUUGUGGGGUCCAUUCCACGGAUUCCGUGACGCAGCUAACGCAUUAAGUUCCCCGCCUGGGGAGUACGGCCGCAAGGCUAAAACUCAAAGGAAUUGACGGGGACCCGCACAAGCGGCGGAGCAUGCGGAUUAAUUCGAUGCAACGCGAAGAACCUUACCAAGGCUUGACAUACACGAGAACGCUGCAGAAAUGUAGAACUCUUUGGACACUCGUGAACAGGUGGUGCAUGGUUGUCGUCAGCUCGUGUCGUGAGAUGUUGGGUUAAGUCCCGCAACGAGCGCAACCC